rnacentral:rRNA from 1 species
UACGAAGGGGGCUAGCGUUGUUCGGAAUUACUGGGCGUAAAGCGCGCGCAGGCGGUUCUUCAAGUCAGUGGUGAAAGCCCGGAGCUCAACUCCGGAACUGCCAUUGAAACUGUUAGCUAUGAGUGAGAGAGGUGAGUGGAAUUCCCAGUGUAGAGGUGAAAUUCGUAGAUAUUGGGAAGAACACCGGUGGCGAAGGCGGCUCACUGGCUCAUUACUGACGCUCAGGCGCGAUAGCGUGGGGAUCAAACAGG